AAUGAGGAAAGUAAGGGCACACGGGGGAUGCCUUGGCGUCUAGUGCCGAAGAAGGACGUGGUACACUGCGAAAAGCUCUGGUCAGGGGUGUGCACCCGCGAGCAGCCAGAGAUGUCCGAAUGGGGAAACCCGAUCCGGGUCAUGCCGGGUCACGCUGAAAAGCGGGGGAACCGGGCGAACUGAAACAUCUAAGUAGCCCGAGGAAGAGAGAGGAUUCCGCGAGUAGUGGCGAGCGAAAGCGGAGCAGCCCAAACCGGUGGACGCGUUCCACCGGGGUUGAAGGACUGACGGAAAUCUGUUGAAGCGAAGUGGAAGGGUCUGGGAAGGCCGACCGAAGAGGGUGAGAGUCCCGUACACGCAGCAGAGGCAGAGGGUCAGUAUCCUGAGUACCACGCGGCACGCUAACCGCGUGGGAAGCUGGGGGGUCCACCCUCCAAGGCUAAACACACUAGACGACCGAUAGCGCAAAAGUACCGUGAGGGAAAGGUGAAAAGAACCCCGGCGAGGGGAGUGAAAGAGACUCUGAAACCGUGUGCUUACAACCAGUCAGAGGGGGCGCAAGCUCCUGAUGGCGUGCCUUUUGGAGAAUGAGCCUGCGAGUGAAUAGGUGUGGCGAGCUUAAGGCAGUAACAGCCGGAGGCGAAGCGAAAGCGAGUCUGAAGAGGGCGGCCAGUCGCAUUUAUUCGACACGAAACCGGGUGAGCUAUGCAUGGGCAGGGUGAAGCGUGAGUAACAUCACGUGGAGGCCCGAACUCACGUUUGUUGCAAAAAACGGGGAUGACCUGUGUAUAGGGGUGAAAUGCCAAACGAACUCGGAGAUAGCUUGUUCUCCCCGAAAUAGCUUUAGGGCUAGCGUUCGAUGUCAGUGCCGGAGGUAGAGCACUGGAUGGGCUAGGGGGCGUCCAGCUUACUGAACCCAACCAAACUGCGAAUGCCGGACACUGAAAGUCGAGCAGUCGGGCUGCGUGAGAUGAGUUUCGCAGCCGAGAGGGAAACAACCCAGAUCCACCGCUAAGGUCCUGAAGUGUGUGCUAAGUGGGAAACGAUGUGACCGUGUAGAGACAGCCAGAAGGUUGGCUUAGAAGCAGCCACCCUUUAAAGAGUGCGUAACAGCUCACUGGUCAAACGCGGUUGCGCGGAAAAUGUAACGGGGCUAAAGCACACCACCGAAGCGAGGAAUGCGAAAGCAUGGUAGGGGAGCGUUCUGCGAGCGGAGAAGGCGACUUGGAAGAGGCGUUGGAGCGAGCAGGAGUGCGAAUGCAGGCAUGAGUAGCGAGAACACUGUGAGAACCAGUGUCGCCGAACCUCUAAGGUUUCCGACGGAAGGUCAGUCCGCGUCGGGUUAGUCGGGCCUAAGCCGAGGCUGAAAAGCGUAGGUGAUGGACAAACGGUUAAUAUUCCGUUACCGGUUGCAGGGGAAAGUGGAAGGUCAAGGGAGACUCAGCCGUCGCAGUGGAUGACGGUGGUAAGCGGGGAGAUCCCGCGAUGCCGUGCGCAAGCAAGAAGUGAGAGGUACCGAGAUCCGAGAAAAGCCACAAUCUAACGAAGCAGCCGCCCGUACCAGAAACCGACACAGGUAGAGGGGUAGAGAAUACCAAGGCGAACGGGAGAACCCUCGUUAAGGAACUAGGCAAAAAGGCCCCGUAACUUCGGGAGAAGGGGCGCCAGCGAGAGCUGGCCGCAGUGAAGAGGCUCUGCCGACUGUUUACCAAAAACACAGGUCUCUGCGAACGCGAAAGCGGACGUAUAGGGGCUGACGCCUGCCCAGUGCCGGAAGGUUAAGAGGAGGGGUGAAAGCUCUGAAUCGAAGCCCCGGUGAACGGCGGCUGUAACUAUAACAGUCCUAAGGUAGCGAAAUUCCUUGUCGGGUAAGUUCCGACCCGCACGAAAGGCGUAACGAGUGGAGCACUGUCUCAACGAGGGACCCGGCGAAAUUGAAGUACGUGUAAAGAUGCGCGUUACCCGCAGCAGGACAAAAAGACCCUGUGGAGCUUUACUCUAGUUUGCUAUUGCGCUAGGACGUUGAUUGUGUAGGGUAGCUGGGAGCCGGUGAAGCGUGCGCGCCAGCGUGCGUGGAGGCAGCGAUGAAACACCAGCCUGUGAACGUUUUGGCCCUAACCUACGUAGGACAGUACGGGGGACAGUGGCAGAUGGGGAGUUUGACUGGGGCGGUCAGCCUCCGAAAGAGUAACGGAGGCGCCCAAAGGUUGGCUCAGGCGGAAUGGAAACCCGCUGAAGAGUGUAAAGGCAGAAGCCAGCUUGACUGCAAGGCCAACGCGCCGAGCAGAGACGAAAGUCGGGCUUAGUGAUCCUACGGCCCUGAGUGGAAAGGCCGUAGCUUACCGGAUAAAAGCUACCCCGGGGAUAACAGGCUAGUCUCGUCCAAGAGUUCAUAUCGACGACGAGGCUCGGCACCUCGAUGUCGGCUCAUCGCAUCCUGGGGCUGGAUAAGGUCCCAAGGGGUUGGGCUGUUCGCCCAUUAAAGCGGUACGUGAGCUUGGGUUCAGACCGUCGUGAGACAGGUCGGUCUCUAUCCGCUGUGGGCGUAGGGAGUUUGAGAGGGUCUGUCCUUAGUACGAGAGGACCGGGAUGGACGAAGCGCUCGUGUGCCGGUUGUCACGCCAGUGGCACAGCCGGGUAGCGAACUUCGGAGCGGAGAACCGCUGAAAGCAUCUAAGCGGGAAACCGGCCUCAAGAUGAGACUCCCCCUGAGACCGCAUGGAGACGACGUGCUGGAUAGGUCGGACGUGGAAGCGCAGCAAUGUGUGGAGCGAACCGAUACUAAUGGUCGAAAGACCUC
rnacentral:rRNA from 1 species